rnacentral:lncRNA from 1 species
GUGGAGCUGAGGGUGGAAGGGGAGUGAGCUGACGCUCGGAAGGUGUCUUGAGAUUAUCAUCCGCUGAGGGUGGAAGGGGAGUGAGCAGACACUCAGGAGGUGUCUUGAGAUUAUCAUCCGCUGAGGGUGGAAGGGGAGUGAGCACACACUCGGGAGGUGUCUUGAGAUUAUCAUCCGCUGAGGGUGGAAGGGGAGUGAGCACACACUCGGGAGGUGUCUUGAGGCUCAGGGAGUUAUCAGUUAUAGAAUGUUGUUGAGUUGGAGGAGGUGGCUGGUGGCCCAUCCUGUUUUUUAAAGUUUCAGCUGUGAGG